GACGAACGCUGGCGGCGCGCCUAACACAUGCAAGUCGAACGAGCGAGAGAGAGCUUGCUUUCUCGAGCGAGUGGCGAACGGGUGAGUAACGCGUGAGGAACCUGCCUCAAAGAGGGGGACAACAGUUGGAAACGACUGCUAAUACCGCAUAAGCCCACGGCUCGGCAUCGAGCAGAGGGAAAAGGAGCAAUCCGCUUUGAGAUGGCCUCGCGUCCGAUUAGCUAGUUGGUGAGGUAAUGGCCCACCAAGGCGACGAUCGGUAGCCGGACUGAGAGGUUGAACGGCCACAUUGGGACUGAGACACGGCCCAGACUCCUACGGGAGGCAGCAGUGGGGAAUAUUGCACAAUGGGGGAAACCCUGAUGCAGCGACGCCGCGUGGAGGAAGAAGGUCUUCGGAUUGUAAACUCCUGUUGUUGAGGAAGAUAAUGACGGUACUCAACAAGAAAGUGACGGCUAACUACGUGCCAGCAGCCGCGGUAAAACGUAGGUCACAAGCGUUGUCCGGAAUUACUGGGUGUAAAGGGAGCGCAGGCGGGAAGACAAGUUGGAAGUGAAAUCCAUGGGCUCAACCCAUGAACUGCUUUCAAAACUGUUUUUCUUGAGUAGUGCAGAGGUAGGCGGAAUUCCCGGUGUAGCGGUGGAAUGCGUAGAUAUCGGGAGGAACACCAGUGGCGAAGGCGGCCUACUGGGCACCAACUGACGCUGAGGCUCGAAAGUGUGGGUAGCAAACAGGAUUAGAUACCCUGGUAGUCCACACUGUAAACGAUGAUUACUAGGUGUUGGAGGAUUGACCCCUUCAGUGCCGCAGUUAACACAAUAAGUAAUCCACCUGGGGAGUACGACCGCAAGGUUGAAACUCAAAGGAAUUGACGGGGGCCCGCACAAGCAGUGGAGUAUGUGGUUUAAUUCGACGCAACGCGAAGAACCUUACCAAGUCUUGACAUCCCUUGACGAUGCUGGAAACAGUAUUUCUCUUCGGAGCAAGGAGACAGGUGGUGCAUGGUUGUCGUCAGCUCGUGUCGUGAGAUGUUGGGUUAAGUCCCGCAACGAGCGCAACCCUUAUGGUCAGUUACUACGCAAGAGGACUCUGGCCAGACUACCGUUGACAAAACGGAGGAAGGUGGGGAUGACGUCAAAUCAUCAUGCCCUUUAUGACUUGGGCUACACACGUACUACAAUGGCGUUAAACAAAGAGAAGCAAGACCGCGAGGUGGAGCAAAACUCAGAAACAACGUCCCAGUUCGGACUGCAGGCUGCAACUCGCCUGCACGAAGUCGGAAUUGCUAGUAAUCGCAGAUCGGCAUGCUGCGGUGAAUACGUUCCCGGGCCU
rnacentral:rRNA from 1 species